CCUACACUUCCAUGUUCGAUGCGAGCGGCGAGCCAACUUCACUCUCAUUCGUCUUCCACAAACCCCAUAACCCUAGCACCGCCGCCGCCAUGUCCUCAUCUCCAUCUUCAGUGAACCGCCGUCCCCCGGGCCCGCUAGCGUUGGGGCUGGAGUCCUUGGGGAAGAAGAUCAGCAUCGGCUGGUCUCCGUCCCGAGCGGCAUCCUCUCCAUCUCGUGCCGCACCUACGCGACCCCACUGGGCCAUGGCUUCUUUCCCCGUGGUGCAGGUCUUUUCGGUCCUCAGGCUUCAUCCCUGUGCAAGUGCAGGGAUAAUUGCUUCUAAUCUCCCGAGGCUGCAUAACCUAAUUCAGAGGCAGAGCAAGGGGGCGUGAGGGAGAUGAGGGAGAUCAUCAGCAUCCAUAUCGCGUAGGCAGGCAUCCAGGUAGGGAAUUCUUGCUGGGAGCUCUACUGCCUCGAGCAUGGUAUCCAGCCUGAUGGCCUCAUGCCCAAUGACACCUCUGUCGGGAUCGCGAGGGAUGCGUUCAACACGUUCUUCAGUGAAACGGGCGCAGGGAAGCACGUUCCAAGGGCCCUGUUUGUCGACUUGGAGCCCACUGUGAUUGAUGAGGUGAAGACCGGGGCGUACCGCCGGCUUUUCCAUCCUGAGCAGCUCAUCUCACACAAGGAAGAUGAUGCGAACAACUUCGCCCGUGGACAUUACACAGGCUCAAAAUGUUCUUGGAAACAAGGGGACUGAAAUUGCAAAGGUAGCACAUCGGCGAACUGAUGCGGAGGCGGGCGUGGAGGCGCUCGAUGCCGUCCAGCAAUCAGUAGUUGUCGCUGCAUCGGCGACUUCUUUCCCCCACCAGCGUGGCCGCGUGAAUGGUUCAGGUGAGACGUCGUUGCUUUGUUUGAUUCGAGAGUGACGCUGAUUCGAAUUCCUACUCGUGGCAGGUCAGUUUAUUCGGAUUCAACCAUGCAUGUGAUCGAUCUAUCAGAGAGCUGACCACCUUCUUUGCUUGUCGCUUGGAACCAUCGCAAAGUUCUUUCCAAAGCCUACAACUUCUAGGAAAUCGGAUA